GGUAGAAGAGGCAAAGUGUUUGGUAUUUGCCUUUAGUAGGGGAGGUAAGCAGGGUAGUUUAAAAUUACAACUCCAAGAUUAUGAACUCUUCUGUGGUAAAAUAGCUAGUCUUGUUUAGGCUCUAGUCUUACUUGCAGUAAUUGAUUAAAUGUUUGAAAUGGAAGGGGAAUAAUUGAAAUAAUUUUCUGAAAGCCUAUCCCCUUAGAUAUUAAGUUGUGGUGUGUGUAGAUUUAAUGUGACAGUUGCCAUGACCCAGUGUGUACAUAGGAUCUCAAAGUGGUCUUUCCCAGUUCUCCCGUCUUAGAUGUGAGUGACUAGUCCGGAGGCCUGUGGAUGUUAAGAUACCUGUUUCUUUAUUUGGUUAAAUCUGUUGAAUUAUAAUUUUUGAGUGGGUAAUAAUACUAUUGAUGGAGAGAUGACUUGAUUUCAGAAAGCAUACAUAGCGUGGAUUGUGGUUACUGGGAACUGAACCUAGGUCCUCUGCAAGAUCAAGUGCUCUUACCCACUGAGCCAUCUCUGCUGCUCCAGUAACUACUGGUUUUUAUUUGGUGCCCACAUUACUCCAAAUGUGACCCUUGAAGAUAACGUCCUUUUCAGAAGUUAUGCUGAACUUCAGGUUUUGCAUGCGUCAUUGCUUGUUAGUGUAUUUAUCUUAUGUUUUCCUAUGCAUUCCUGAUAUCAGUUAUUUCUGUAAGGAGCAGUCGUUUCUUUUAUAGUGGAGAUGAGUUACUAGAGAAACCAAGAUCUGCUGAGUGUGGUGGCGCAUGCCUUUAAACCCAGCACUCGGGAGGCAGAGGCAGGUGGAUAUCUGAGUUCGAGGCCAGCCUGGUCUACAGAGUGAGUUCCAGGGCAGCCAGGGCUACAAAGAGAAACCCUGUCUCGAAAAACUAAAAAAAAAAAAAAGAAAAAAGAAAAAAAAAGAAAUCAAGAUCUGAGCAUCAGAUAGGAACAUAUGCUGUCAGGGUGUUGAUGGUCUAUCUCUCUCUUAGGGCAGAGCCUGUAAGGAGUAUGUGCACACGUCCAGUCAUCUCACACACUUAGAAGCUGGGAGUCCCCACCAUGCUGCUGUCUUGAUUCAGAGCCUUAGUGUUUAUGAACUGCCUUCUCUGUUUAUUUGUAGCACCUGCCUCUGCUUCUCUCUUUACAUUAAAAAUAAAAAGAUCUAUCUGUGUGCAUUGAGUGCAGUGCCUGCAGAGGUCAGGGGUCAGAUCCCUGGGAGCUGUAAGCCAGCUGGGUGGGUGCUGGGAAUUGAACUCGGAGCCUCAAGAUGAGCAGUGUGUUCUCCUAGCCACUGAGCCAUCUCUUGCCCACUUCUGUAGUUCUCACUAGUCAGUUUUGUUGAGUUGGUUUUUGUUGUAGUUUUGUUUGUUUGUUUUGUUUUAAUCUCCUGUAACAAAGGCUGUCUUCAAACUCAGCAAGUAUCUUUGGCCUUGAACUCUUGAUCCUCUCUCUUCUCUCCAGCUCUCUGAUGGCAUGACUACAGGCAGGAGCCACCAAGCCUGGCUAUUUAUCCCUAAUAGACUUACUUACUUGGUUACUCAAAACUUGCUUUGGAUAUGGGAUUCAGGAGCAGGAUGAAAGGAAAGAGAAUUCCUAGGCUAAUGAGAGUGCACUAGUUAUGCAGACAGCUACCAGCCACUCCCCAUGGGUGAGUGAGUAAAUCCAGGUGUUGAUGUGAAUUUGGGGAUAAGAAAACAAAAAACUGAGCAAGC
rnacentral:lncRNA from 1 species